ensembl:lncRNA
CACAGCCCAAAGCCAUCCAUGCCCCUCAUGGGAUGCGCUUUGGAGUUGUGUUCCAUCUGCAAAAUGUGAGGCGAUGCUUUUCCUCCGUGGGCGUCCAAACGGACAGUGGUUGAGCCUCAUUGCUGCAGGACGAAGCAGCCCUCCGGCUGGCAGACAGGCUGUUUUGAAGCACAACCAGAGCCCCUUUAAAAGCACACCGAGUGCAUCCCGAACCCGGGAGGGGAUUCCAGCCCUCCCCACCGUUGGCUGUGCAGGCCGUGCCCUGCUGGCUCCUUGCUGGUGGCCCUCAGGUAGUCCCAGAGCCUCCAAUGCUGUGUCCCCACGGGGCUGCUCUCUGUGCUCCGGUCCUCGCUGUGUCCGCACCCUGCGCUACUGAUGGACGCCUCUUGUGCCACGAUGAGCACUGGGCCCAGGACAGCCCUUCCCUGCUCAAGGAACUGAAAAUACACCGAGGAAGUCCGGCGUGAGUGCUCUGUGCAGCACUUCGGGGGCAGAUGGAGGUGGGGAGGAGAUGAGGAGAAGUUGUGAGUCCAGUGAUGGCACACGUUGGGUGUCCAUGAGAAAUGCUCACAGGAAUUGAGCUGGGAAGGGUGGGAAAUCCUGCCCUGAUGCUGUGGACUGAACACUGCUCCAUGGCCAACAGUGCUCCAUCUCCACCACUGCUCCAUCUCCACCACUGCUCCGUGUCCAACACAGCUCCAUGUCCAACCACCACCAGGAUGCCGCCCCAUGGCCUGGAGACCUUUCAUGUCUUGGGGUUCUCCAUUGAAGCCUUGCAGACACGAACCCAGUUUGGUUUCCCUGCCUCACCCUGGGCAGAAUGGAGCCUCGCAGUGGGGUGAUGCUCCAAGCACCCUCCCCCACCCAUGAGGCUCCUAUCAGAGACCCCAGAGCUGGGGACCCCCGUGCAGGACGCAGCUACCUGCUCUGAUCUGCUCUUUCCACCAGCAACUUAUGGAAAAACACUUGUUUUGCGGCGUGCCGGAUGCUCCUCCUCACUCUCCCCACGAAAGCACCUGGGAUGCCGACCUUCCCACAGCGCUUUCCUCACCUUGAAGGCUUUUCCUUUUUUCCACCCCACUCUGGCUGUACAAACCGCGCCGGGACGCGGCCCGACGGCGCUCCCAGGGCUGAAUUUAACUCGGGAGAGGACUAUGAUUUUCCAGCAGCUCUCACACAGCGGCGGAGGCACCCGCGGGGUUCCCACCGCCCCUCUGCUGCUCCCCGGGCCAGCAUCAGCACGCCCGCAACGCGUCCCCUGGGGAUGCAACAGCCAACAGGAUCCGCCGGGGAGAUGUUGGCGACAACACCCCCCGAAUGAUGAAUGGUGCCGAGCUGUGCUUUAUGCUCUAUAUUUAACAGCAUUGUCUUCUUGUAAUUUAUUUUAUUUUUCUUGGAAAUGGGUGUGGGGGUGCAGCACUCGUUUUUUCCCGCGGCUUUUCGCUCUCCCGCAGAGCUCUGACCCCUCCGCGGUGCUCUGGAAAGCAAAUGUCUUUUUUGGUUUCGUUUGGAAGCCGGGAUGGAAAAUGAUUUCCAAACACCCCAAAUUAGAAACAGCGCUUUGUUUUGGUGGUGGGGGCGGCGGGAG